rnacentral:rRNA from 1 species
AUUGAACGCUGGCGGCAGGCCUAACACAUGCAAGUCGAGCGGUUGACGGGAGCUUGCUCCCUGAUUCAGCGGCGGACGGGUGAGUAAUGCCUAGGACUCUGCCUAUUAGUGGGGGACAACGUUUCGAAAGGAACGCUAAUACCGCAUACGUCCUACGGGCGAAGCAGGGGACCUUCGGGCCUUGCGCUAAUAGAUGAGCCUAGGUCGGAUUAGCUUUUUGGUGAGGUAAUGGCUCACCAAGGCGACGAUCCGUAACUGGUCUGAGAGGAUGAUCAGUCACACUGGAACUGAGACACGGUCCAGACUCCUACGGGAGGCAGCAGUGGGGAAUAUUGGACAAUGGGCGAAAGCCUGAUCCAGCCAUGCCGCGUGUGUGAAGAAGGUCUUCGGAUUGUAAAGCACUUUAAGUUGGGAGGAAGGGUUGUAGAUUAAUACUCUGCAAUUUUGACGUUACCGACAGAAUAAGCACCGGCUAACUCUGUGCCAGCCGCCGCCGUAA